GCAGCCGCCGCGGUAAUACAGAGGGUGCAAGCGUUAAUCGGAAUUACUGGGCGUAAAGCGCGCGUAGGUGGUUUGUUAAGUUGGAUGUGAAAUCCCCGGGCUCAACCUGGGAACUGCAUCCAAAACUGGCAAGCUAGAGUAUGGUAGAGGGUGGUGGAAUUUCCUGUGUAGCGGUGAAAUGCGUAGAUAUAGGAAGGAACACCAGUGGCGAAGGCGACCACCUGGACUGAUACUGACACUGAGGUGCGAAAGCGUGGGGAGCAAACAGGAUUAGAGACCCCUGUAGUCCCUGUCUCUUAUAC
rnacentral:rRNA from 1 species